CUGCCUGCCAUCCACACCAGAAUAAAUAAAGUUUUCCGAAAAAACCUGAUAGUGGAGGAAGACCUCCUAAGGAUAAGAGACAUAGGAUUAAAGAGAGAGCCAAAUAAGAAUCUUUAGUGUAUAAUCCUGCAUAAUCUCGAACGUUAUCAGUUCCGGUACGUAGACCAAAGCCCAAAGUACCAAAUAAUGGUUUAGAAUAUAAAAACCUUCCUCACAUAUUGGGGUGGAAAGGGAGGUUGCAGAUGUGCAGAAAGCUUUCAACUGUCCAACUAACUGAAAGACUUGACUAUUCUAAUUUGCCUGGCCUGAAUCCCAACAUGAAAAAUGGAAGUCUGAAGGAAGGAACACUUAACUGGGAAAUGUUGCAAUUCAAGCCAAAAUUUCCACGUCAAGUAUUGCUUUGCAGAGUUGGGGAAUUUUAUGAAGCUUGGGGAAUAAAUGUAUGUAUUCUUGUGGCAUAUGAGGGUUUAAAUCCUUUUGGCGGUCUGCAAUCAGAUAGUAUCCCGAGAGCUGGUUGUCCUGUUGUGGUAUUUUUAUUUUUGUCGGCAAACUUUUAUAUUGAUACUGCCAUUUGUUUUGGUUAUUUUCUUGUCUCAUGAAAUUUAAUUUUUAUAUUGA